CAAUGCUCAACCUGCUCAACAAUAUAAAAUAUAGUCAAAUAGCCCUAUAUAGACUAUAGAAAUAUAUUGAACAAAUUGGUUAAUACAUGUAAAUAUUUCGAGUAAACAAAUCAAACUUUCAUAAUUAUAAAAUGUCAAAAAUAUAUAUUUUUAAAUAUUGUCUUAUUACUGUGUGACCUGUGGCGGUUUCCUCUAGACAUGUGCAAUUUGUUUUCGGUCUGAAUUUAAAUUCGGACAAAUUGUGGACAUUCGGACAUUCAGAUAUUGCUGAAUUUCGGAAGUG